rnacentral:ncRNA from 1 species
CUACUUUUGUACCAGAUUGGUGACCGUCGCUGCUUCCGUAGCGAUGUGUUUAAAAGGGAAACAGGUGAAAAACCUGCGCUGUACCCGCAACUGUAAUCUUCUAAAAAGGGCUUGCCCAUUACCAACGCCACUGUACUGCUUUGCGGUAUGGGAAGGCGGGCAAGCUGAAGAGAGCCAGGAUACCUGCCAGUCCGACACGUAUUUG